CCCUUAGAUGUCCUGGGCUGCACGCGCGCUACACUGAUGUGUCCAGUAAGCACCUAACCUCUUCCGAAAGGAACGGGUGACCUUUGCAAAGCACAUCGUGAUGGGGAUAGAUUAUUGCAAUUAUUAGUCUUGAACGAGGAAUUCCUAGUAAGCACAAGUCAUCAGCUUGUGUUGAUUACGUCCCUGCCCUUUGUACACACCGCCCGUCGCUCCUACCGAUUGAAUGGUUUAGUGAGGCCUUCGGAUCCGCGACUCGUUUUGUGGAGAAGUUGGACAAACUCAGUCAUUUAGAGGAAGUAAAAGUCGUAACA
rnacentral:rRNA from 1 species